CCUACGGGAGGCUGCAGUGAGGAAUAUUGGUCAAUGGGCGCGAGCCUGAACCAGCCAAGUAGCGGGAAGGAUGAAGGUUCUAUGGAUCGUAAACCUCUUUUAUAAGGGAAUAAAGUGCGGGACGUGUCCCGUUUUGUAUGUACCUUAUGAAUAAGGAUCGGCUAACUCCGUGCCAGCAGCCGCGGUAAUACGGAGGAUCCGAGCGUUAUCCGGAUUUAUUGGGUUUAAAGGGUGCGUAGGCGGCCUUUUAAGUCAGCGGGGAAAGUCUGUGGCUCAACCAUAGAAUUGCCGUUGAAACUGGGAGGCUUGAGUAUGUUUGAGGCAGGCGGAAUGCGUGGUGUAGCGGUGAAAUGCUUAGAUAUCACGCAGAACCCCGAUUGCGAAGGCAGCCUGCCAAGCCAUGACUGACGCUGAUGCACGAAAGCGUGGGGAUCAAACAGGAUUAGAUACCCGGGUAGUC
rnacentral:rRNA from 1 species